GAGGGGAGUACCGGGUCGUGACAUCAAGUGUUUAAAGGUGGUGAGCAAAUUACACUGGUAAAAGUACAGAAAUUAUGCUUGAAGACUGAGAUUAUGAGUACAUCGACUCCUAGAACUGCUCAGGACAGUUUGUUGAUAGUUGAUUAAGACGAGAAUUAAUCUCGGAGUUGCAUCAUAGGAAGUAAGGAUUCGUAACUUUACACCUUCUUGGUUAGUUGGGGGCUUACGUG